rnacentral:rRNA from 1 species
GUGUCAGCCGCCGCGGUAAGACGUAGGGGGCGAGCGUUACCCGGAUUCACUGGGCGUAAAGGGCGUCUAGGCGGUUCGGCAAGUCGCCUGUGAAAGCCCCUGGCUCAACUGGGGGAGGCCGGGCGAUACUGCCGGGCUAGAGGGCGGCAGAGGAAGGUGGAACGGCCAGAGUAGCGGUGAAAUGCGUAGAUACUGGCCGGUACCCCGAUGGCGAAGGCAACCUUCUGGGCCGUCCCUGACGCUGAAGCGCGAAAGCGUGGGGAGCGAACCGGAUUAGAUACCCGGGUAGUCCACGCCCUAAACGAUGUGGGCUAGGUGUCGGGCCGCAACUGGCUCGGUGCCGCAGCUAACGCGUUAAGCCCACCGCCUGGGGAGUACGGCCGCAAGGCUGAAACUUAAAUGAAUUGACGGGG